rnacentral:lncRNA from 1 species
UUUUUUUUUUUUUUUUUGCAGCCUAAUAGCAAUCAAAUGUUUAAAAAUUAAAAAUGUUGUUCCAUAUUUGAAAGUAAUAUCCAAUUAUGAAAAUUAAGUAAUUCAUAGUCUGAAGGAAACAACCUGAGUGUUGUAAUAUCUCAGAAGUGUACUAAUAGGUUUUCUGAAAUGUUCUCUAUGCAUUUUUUUAAAAAAAAUGUAAACUUGACAUUUUAGGGUCUUCAGUUCUAAAUACACCUGUUAUAAGGUGUUUAAUACAGCUCAGGAAAGUGAGCAUUCUGUGAGAGACAUGUAUGACAGCGCUCAGAAGACACUGGGUGAAUGUUUUCAAACAUAAUGAAGCUGUUUUAAAAAUAAAGAUAUAAAUAUCAAAGAACUUAGAACACUGAUAAAUGUUGCCGUGGUUAUUAAGGAGGGCACACAGAGAGAGCCGGGAUCAAAUCUAGAGGAAUCUGUGGAGUAGGAGAGAGCUAGCACUUAGCUUUGUAUAAACUUUAGGUCCCUGUGUAAAAUGCUAAACCACAUGCACUCUUUGUUCUGUCACUAAUGUCCUUGGUGCCUGAGGCUUUGUAUGUAAAGGAAUGCUUUACUCUCUCUAAAUCUUUAUUUAAACUAGUCUUAAACUAUUACACAACAAUUUAAAUGAAAAUUUUACUUAAAAACCCAACUGAAAUAAUUAAAAGUAGAACUUUAUAAAUUGUUUCAGAACAGUUUGAUGAAAGAAUAUUAGUCUCAGUGAACCGUAGUGAUGGCUCAUGCUUUCAAGUUUGGAGUGACAUAGCUACAAUAAAUACAGCUUUAAAAAUGAAAGAGUAUCUGUACAGCUCAGAAACACUAAAUUAAAAAAAAUAUAUUUCAUUAUAACUCGAGUAAAUACUACUCAGUGAACUGGAACAUUUUAAUAGGAAAAUACAGUUUUGUGAUUGUCAAUUUGGUUGAAACUGGUAUUUUAUAUUUAAGUUAUGUAGCUUUUCCUAUUACUUUCAUACAAAUAAAGGUAGAUUCUAGACUCUAUAUAGUAUAAAGAUACUAAGGUUUGGGGGUCUUUGUUCUGUUUUGUUUUUUUAGGUACUGUAUGAGCUUGGGUUCUGGGCACUAGUGCUAACAGACGCCUGCUCUGAGAGAAGUUAGAAGUGGUUCACCCCAGCAGCAUGUUUCAGUGGGGCUUUUAUAAAGCCUGAGGCUAUGGAAGCUAACAGUCCUAAAGACAGAUGACCUAACUAAGAACAAAAGAGAGUGUGGCUUUCUACACAGCUUAAACUUCAGAAGUGAUGGCGUUCUUUCAGGCACGGCAGUUGAGAAGGAAAAGACCGGCCCAGAGUUCCACGUCAAAGGCAACUCUGAGAACAUUUUACCCUUACUGAAUAGUAGGGAGCUCUGGCUGUAUAGGAAAUACUUGUGCUAGUUGGUUAGGUUCUGGGUUAUUUUUUUUAACUUUUCUGAACAACAUUGAAAAAUGGAUUUGAUGGUAUAUAGUCAGUUUUACUAACCAAAGCUUUAUUUGAAAACUUAACUUUUUGUACAAAUUGAAUUACAUGCUUGAAUACUUUAAGUCACUUUAUAAGCAAAAUGCAUAGCAUUUAAUUUGUUUAUACUGUAAAAUAUAUGUUAAAUGGUUUUAUCAAUUUGAGAAUAAAGAUAGUUACUACUGC